rnacentral:rRNA from 1 species
UAUUAUUUAAAAUAUAAUUAUAAAUACUUAAGUAGUAAUAGUUAUGUUCUUGAAACUUAAAAAAUUUGGCGGUAUUUUAGUCUAUCCAGAGGAACCUGUUUUAUAAUCGAUAAUCCACGAUGGACCUUACUUAAAUUUGUAAUCAGUUUAUAUACCGUCGUUAUCAGAAUAUUUUAUAAGAAUAUUAAUAUUCAAUAAUUUUUAUUAAAAUUUAUAUCAGAUCAAGGUGUAGCUUAUGUUUAAGUAAAAAUGGGUUACAAUAAAUUUAUUUAUAUGGAUAAAAUUAUGAAAAAAUUUUUGAAAUUGGAUUUGGUAGUAAAUUUAUAAAGAUUAAUAAUUUGAUUUUAGCUCUAAAAUAUGUACACAUCGCCCGUCGCUCUUAUUAUUAAGGUAAGAUAAGUCGUAACAUAGUAGAUGUACUGGAAAGUGUAUCUAGAAUGA